rfam:Chelonia mydas contig102592, whole genome shotgun sequence.
GGCAGUGUGGUCCAGUGGUUAAAGCACUGGCUUAGCAGCCAGGAGAACUGAGUUUUAUUCCCAGCACUGCCA